rnacentral:rRNA from 1 species
CAGCAGCCACGGUAAUACGUAGGUGGCAAGCGUUGUCCGGAAUUAUUGGGCGUAAAGGGCUCGCAGGCGGUUUCUUAAGUCUGAUGUGAAAGCCCCCGGCUCAACCGGGGAGGGUCAUUGGAAACUGGGAAACUUGAGUGCAGAAGAGGAGAGUGGAAUUCCACGCGUAGCGGUGAAAUGCAUAGAGAUGUGGAGGAACACCAGUGGCGAAGGCGACUCUCUGGUCUGUAACUGACGCUGAGGAGCGAAAGCGUGGGGAGCGAACAGGAUUAGAUACCCCGGUAGUCCCUGUCUCUUAUAC